AACGAACGCUGGCGGCAGGCCUAACACAUGCAAGUCGAACGAGAAGCCACCUUCGGGUGGUGGACAGUGGCAGACGGGUGAGUAACGCGUGGGAACGUGCCUUUCGGUUCGGGAUAACCCAGGGAAACUUGUGCUAAUACCGGAUAAGCCCUUACGGGGAAAGAUUUAUCGCCGAAAGAUCGGCCCGCGUCUGAUUAGCUAGUUGGUGGGGUAAUGGCUCACCAAGGCGACGAUCAGUAGCUGGUCUGAGAGGAUGAUCAGCCACAUUGGGACUGAGACACGGCCCAAACUCCUACGGGAGGCAG
rnacentral:rRNA from 1 species